rnacentral:misc_RNA from 1 species
AAAAGCGAGCUACUGGGUGUACCUCCUGGGUAGUUUGGAAAUCACCUAAUAUAUAUAUGUAUAUAUUUAUAAAUAAAAGUUAAUAUAUAUAAAUUAACAUUAUUUUUUUUUAACAGGAAAUGCACAAUGCUAAAAACUGCGUAGGAGAUUUUAAUACAAUAGUACUACCAAGCCUGAUGUUGGCCGCUAUUUCAAUGAAUGCAGCAGUGUCACAGCUAGCAAUCAAAAGUAAAAAGAUAUUGAGGAAAUGCAGAUGGUAAUAAACUGUGUAGGAGUUCAUGAUUGCAAUAGAAUAAAAUCGACCAAGCCUGAAGUCAGCAGCCCCUUCAAUGAAUGCAGCUGUGUGAUAGCCAGCAAUCAAAAGUUACAAGAUAUCGAGGAAAUGCAGAUGGCAAUAAACUGUGUAGGAGUUUAUGAUUGCAAUAGAAUAAAAUCGACCAAGCCUGAAGUCAGCAGCCCCUUCAAUGAAUGCAGCAGUGUGACAGCCAGCAAUCAAAAGUUACAAGAUAUCGAGGAAAUGCAGAAGGCAAAAAACUGCGUAGGAGAUCAUUAAUACAAAAGUAUUAUAUAAACCAAGCCUGAUGUUGGCCGCUCAUUCAAAGAAUGCAGCAGUGUGACAGCCAGCAAUCAAAAGUAACAAGAUGUCGAGGAAAUGCAGAGUGCAAUAAACUGCGUAGGAGAUUAUGAUUGCAAUAGAAUAAAAUCGACCAAGCCUGAAGUUUUUCAAUGCACGCAGCAGUGUGACAGCCAGCAAUCAAAAGUUACAAGAUAUCGAGGAAAUGCAGAAGGCAAAAAACUGCGUAGGAGAUUAUUAAUACAAUAGUAUUAUAUCAACCAAGCCUGAUGUCGGUAGCUUCUUCAAUGAAUGCAGCAGUGUGACAGCCAGCAAUCAAUAGUGAUAGUGACAAGAAUCUAGGAAAUACAGAAGGCAAAGAAGCAGAUGUCAUCAAAGAAGAUCUUUGUUCCUGCAAUGUUUCCGCAGACGAUACAUCCAACAGAGCGAAGUGGAAGGAAAAGACUCGGAAAAAAGACCCCACCACCAUAUGGGAACAAU